rnacentral:rRNA from 1 species
GACGAACGCUGGCGGCGUGCCUAACACAUGCAAGUCGAACGGGGAGUUAUUUAUAACUCCUAGUGGCGAACGGGUGAGUAACGCGUAGACAACCUGCCUCUAAAUUGGGGACAACACCGCGAAAGUGGUGCUAAUACCGAAUGUGGUAUCUUGGUCGCAUGACCGAGAUAAGAAAGGUGGCCUCUGAAUAUGCUACCGAUUAGAGAUGGGUCUGCGUCUGAUUAGCUAGUUGGUGAGGUAAUGGCUCACCAAGGCGACGAUCAGUAGCCGGUCUGAGAGGGUGAUCGGCCACACUGGGACUGAGACACGGCCCAGACACCUACGGGUGGCUG